rnacentral:rRNA from 1 species
GACAGAGGGUGCAAACGUUGUUCGGAAUUACUGGGCGUAAAGCGAGUGUAGGCGGUUUGGUAAGUCGGAUGUGAAAGCCCCCGGGCUCAACCCGGGAAGUGCACUCGAUACUGCCAAGCUAGAGUAUCGGAGAGGUUGGUGGAAUUCUCGGGUGUAGAGGUGAAAAUUCGUAGAUAUCGAGAGGAACACCGGUGGCGAAGGCGGCCAACUGGACGAAAUACUGACGUGAGGGAAGCGAAAAGCGUGGGGGAGCAAACAGG